CUCUGUGACUCCUACGGGAGGCAGCAGUGGGGAAUAUUGCACAAUGGGGGAAACCCUGAUGCAGCCAUGUCGCGUGUGUGAAGAAGGCCUUCGGGUUGUAAAGCACUUUCAGUAGGGAGGAAGGUAGUGUAGUUAACACCUGCACUAUUUGACGUUACCUACAGAAGAAGCACCGGCUAACUCCGUGCCAGCAGCCGCGGUAAUACGGAGGGUGCGAGCGUUAAUCGGAAUUACUGGGCGUAAAGCGCAUGCAGGCGGCCUGUUAAGUCAGAUGUGAAAGCCCCGGGGCUUAACCUCGGAAUUGCAUUUGAAACUGGCAGGCUAGAGUCUUGUAGAGGGGGUAGAAUUUCAGGUGUAGCGGUGAAAUGCGUAGAGAUCUGAAGGAAUACCAGUGGCGAAGGCGGCCCCCUGGACAAAGACUGACGCUCAGAUGCGAAAGCGUGGGGAGCAAACAGGAUUAGAUACCCUGGUAA
rnacentral:rRNA from 1 species